rnacentral:rRNA from 1 species
GACGAACGCUGGCGGCGUGCUUAACACAUGCAAGUCGAACGGAAAGGCACCUUUGGCUUUCCUCUACUGGCGAACGGUGGCGUAACACGUAGGUAACCUGCCCUUUACUUCGUUAUAACGUCGGUAAAGUGGGGCUAAUACCGCAUAGGACUCCUUGCAGCUUGGUGGGGGUUGGAAAGCUUCUGCGGUUUUGGGUGGACUCAGGGCUUAUCAGCUUGUUGGUGGGGUAGUGGCUUACGAAGGCUUUGACGGGUAGCCGGCCUGAGAGGGCGACCGGCGACAUGGGGACUGAGAUACGGACCAGACUGCUACGGGGGGCAGCAGUGGGGAAUAUGGCACAAUGGGCGGAAGCCUGAUGCAGCAACGUCGCGUGCGGGAUGACGUCCUGCGGGUUGUAAACCGCUUUCAGCAGGGGCGAAGCUUUUGUGACGGUACCUGAAGAAGAAGCACCGGCUAACUACGUG